rnacentral:rRNA from 1 species
GGAGGGUGCAAGCGUUGCUCGGAAUUACUGGGCGUAAAGGGCGUGUAGGCGGUUUCGUAUGUCUGGCGUGAAAGCCCCGGGCUCACCUCGGGAAGUGCGUCGGAAACUGCGAGACUAGAGUCCCGGAGAGGGAGGUGGAAUUCCAGGUGUAGCGGUGAAAUGCGUAGAUAUCUGGAAGAACACCGGUGGCGAAAGCGGCCUCCUGGACGGUGACUGACGCUGAGACGCGAAAGCGUGGGGAGCAAACAGGAUUAGAUACCCUGGUAGUCCACGCCAUAGACGAUGAGCACUAGGUGUCGCGGGUAUUGACCCCUGCGGUGCCGCCGCUAACGCAUUAAGUGCUCCGCCUGGGGACUACGGCCGCAAGGUUA